AGUGAACGCUGGCGGUAGGCCUAGCACAUGCAAGUCGAACGGCAGCACAGUAAGAACUUGCUCUUACGGGUGGCGAGUGGCGGACGGGUGAGGAAUACAUCGGAAUCUACUUUUUCGUGGGGGAUAACGUAGGGAAACUUACGCUAAUACCGCAUACGACCUACGGGUGAAAGCAGGGGAUCUUCGGACCUUGCGCGAUUGAAUGAGCCGAUGUCGGAUUAGCUAGUUGGCGGGGUAAAGGCCCACCAAGGCGACGAUCCGUAGCUGGUCUGAGAGGAUGAUCAGCCACACUGGAACUGAGACACGGUCCAGACUCCUACGGGAGGCAGCAGUGGGGAAUAUUGGACAAUGGGCGCAAGCCUGAUCCAGCCAUACCGCGUGGAUGAAGAAGGCCUUCGGGUUGUAAAGCCCUUUUGUUGGGAAAGAAAAGCAGCAGGUUAAUACCCCGCUGUUCUGACGGUACCCAAAGAAUAAGCACCGGCUAACUUCGUG
rnacentral:rRNA from 1 species